rfam:Lupinus angustifolius cultivar Tanjil chromosome LG01, whole genome shotgun sequence.
UCCCAAUGAGGAAGAAUACCCAAAUUGAUAGGAAGUGCCGUAUGACACUAUACAGCAGCGUAUUU